GACGAACGCUGGCGGCGUGCCUAAUACAUGCAAGUCGAACGAAGUGGGGACGGGUGAGUAACACGUGGGUAACCUACCAUCAGAGGGGAGAACACUUGGAAACAGGUGCUAAACCGAAACUGAUGGAUGGACACGGGGUGCAUUAGCUAGUUGGUGGGGUAACGGCUCACCAAGGCAACGAUGCAUAGCCGACUGUGGAGGUGGAUGGGCCAAACUGGAACUGGACAACGGCCCGAACUCUGCCGGAGGGCAGCAGUGGGGAAUCUUCGGAAAUGGCCGAAAUUCGGACGGAGAAAGGCGGCGGGGGUGAAGCAGGCUUUCGGAUCGUAAGCCUUGGUUGUUAGGGCAGCGGUAUCUAACCAGAAAGCCACGGCUAACUACGUGCCAGCAGCCGCGGUAAUUC
rnacentral:rRNA from 1 species